rnacentral:tRNA from 1 species
GGGGAAGUGUCGAAAUAGGUAGACGAGCAUGACUUAGGAUCAUGUGCUGAAAAGCGUGGGAGUUCGAGUCUCCCCUUCCCCACCA